rnacentral:rRNA from 1 species
GAGUAAUAUGGGGGGCACCUGAUCAGCAUGCCGCGUGUGUGAAGAAGGCCUUCGGGUUGUAAAGCACUUUUAUCGGGAACGAAACAUUGUCGGUGAAUAUCCGGCAAGACUGACGGUACCCGAGGAAUAAGCACCGGCUAACUUCGUGCCAGCAGCCGCGGUAAUACGAAGGGUGCAAGCGUUACUCGGAAUUACUGGGCGUAAAGGGUGCGUAGGUGGUUUUUUAAGUCUGCUGUGAAAUCCCCGGGCUCAACCUGGGAAUGGCAGUGGAUACUGGAAAGCUGGAGUGCGGUAGAGGGUAGUGGAAUUCCCGGUGUAGCAGUGAAAUGCGUAGAGAUCGGAAGGAACACCAGUGGA